rnacentral:rRNA from 1 species
GUGAGGAAUAUUGCGCAAUGGAGGCAACUCUGACGCAGCCAUGCCGCGUGCAGGAAGAAGGCGCUACGCGUUGUAAACUGCUUUUAACCGGGAAGAAACCCCAGGACGUGUCCUGGGUUGACGGUACCGGAGGAAUAAGCACCGGCUAACUUCGUGCCAGCAGCCGCGGUAAUACGAAGGGUGCAAGCGUUAUCCGGAUUCAUUGGGUUUAAAGGGUGCGUAGGCGGAGCGUUAAGUCAGUGGUGAAAUCCUGCAGCUUAACUGUAGAGUUGCCAUUGAUACUGGCGGUAUUGAGUGCGCUUGAAGGGGGCGGAAUGUGCCGUGUAGCGGUGAAAUGCUUAGAUAAGGCACAGAACACCAAUUGCGAAGGCAGCUCACUAAGGCGAUACUGACGCUGAGGCACGAAAGCGUGGGGAUCGAACAGGAUUAGAAACCCGGGUAGUCC